GGGUCAGUAGGUUGGUCGUGCCACCGGUACGUACUGGUCUCACUGAUUCCUCUUUCCUGAAGAACCGUAAUGCCAUUAAUUUGGUGUUGCGGGGAAACAGGACUGUUACUUUGAAAAAAUUAGAGUGUUUAAAGCAAGCUAACGCUUGAAUACAUUAGCAUGGAAUAAUGAAAUAGGACGAUCGAUCCUAUUUUGUCGGUUUCUAGGAUUGACGUA
rnacentral:rRNA from 1 species